CCACAAUCAGCGCUCGAGCCCAGACAAUCUAUCCCGAUUCCUCCAAGCAACGACCAGGAAAAUCCAACAAUCAACGACGGCAAUGGUGAAUACUCGGGCAUCUGGAUCUGCAACGACUGACGGAAAAGUGUAUCAGAGGAGGAACACUAAAACCAAGCCACCGCGGAUCCCCAAAGCUCAAACCAGGGUUGUACCACAAAACAAAACAACACCGCAAUCCAACAAAGGGAAGGAGGCUGAUGCAAAAACUCCAAUUCCUGUUAACG